CGAGCGGUAGCACAGAGAGCUUGCUCUCGGGUGACGAGCGGCGGACGGGUGAGUAAUGUCUGGGAAACUGCCUGAUGGAGGGGGAUAACUACUGGAAACGGUAGCUAAUACCGCAUAACGUCGCAAGACCAAAGUGGGGGACCUUCGGGCCUCAUGCCAUCAGAUGUGCCCAGAUGGGAUUAGCUAGUAGGUGGGGUAACGGCUCACCUAGGCGACGAUCCCUAGCUGGUCUGAGAG
rnacentral:rRNA from 1 species